ACGUGCCAGGGCCUAACCACGCCCCCCCCCCAAAAAACACCCAGGUGCACCCCUGCCGGCCCUCUGCCUCCUCUCCCACAACACCGGGCCUGUUCCAAGUGAACAGAAGGAGAAAGACAGGGCUUUGGAGUCAGAUUCACUGGGUUCCAGCUCAGAACUCUCUGCUUUUUUAGCUGGGUGGUCUUCUGUGGUCCGGUCUGCGUAAUGAAGAGACCCUCUCUCACGCUGUCGCAGUCAGAGUAAAGCUUAACCCUGAUUGGGGAUCCGGACCUGCCCCACUCCCCACCCCACCAGGUCUCAUUCAAUCUGUGCUGGGCAGGACCCCCAACUGCUGUUUCUGGCUGAACUUCCCAGAAGACCUCGGUCACAAAAUGAGAGCCACAGUGCCUGGCCCAGCUUCCAUGGGGAAGGUGACAUCAUGAGGCUUAACGGAAUUACAGCUCACUCCAUCAGGACGUCUCCCAGAUGAAUCCCACAGCAGAGUACAACAUUCACCCAAAUGCUUUCUGGAUGCGAUGAGCAUCCCCAAGACUCAAUCCAGGCCCCGAGUUCUCCAGCUGCUGAGACUGCUAGAAAUACAAGGAGAACAGACAGGAGUGAGGAGGGCCUAGGGUUUUGUGACUUGGCAUUGGAGCUCCUCACCUACUGAUCUCUUGAUCCACCAGCUAAUCCUCAACCCUGGAAUCCACGCUCUCUGGCCCUUCCUGGCCUCCCCUCUGUGAUCCCAGGUAGGUGUGAAUGGAGCCUCGAUGCCCCUACUUCCGGCUGACUUCACUCCACCCCAUCCUCCAGCUUCUGAGAUACUAGAGGGUUAAAGCUGGACCCACAGAGGGUGAGGAUCACCUCUACCAUCACCCAGGGAGGCUCCAAGUGCAGCAUGAGUGGACCCAAAGCAGAGCUCUUAAAGAAGCCGAGUCAUUGAAAUACAGUGCAAGAGUCAGCCCAGUUUCCAGUGUGAAGACAUUAAGAGACACCUCAUGUUAAAAAUGGGAAGCUUGCUGGUACCCCUCACACCGCAUGCAUGGAUGAUAAAUGACGUAAAGUGUUUAGCAAGGGUUUGACAUAUACUAAGCAUUCAAUCAGUGGUUGUUGCGGUUGUUCAGUUGCUAAGUCAUGUCCUACUCUGUGACCCCAUGAACUGCAGCAUGCCAGGCUUCCUUGUCCUUCACCAUCUCCUGGAGUUUGAGCAAACUCAUGUCCAUUGAGUUGGUGAUGCCA